ensembl:lncRNA
UGCCCAUCUAAACAGAAAAUGCUUAGGGAAAAAUAGCUGGUUUUAAAAUCGCGUCUCUUUGAAUGAGUUAACUGCUUUGAUUUACUGAAUUAAGCUUUUGAAGCACAAACCAAUUUUUUUUUUUUUGUUUUUUUUCUUUCAAAUGACAUUAUGAGCCGACUCUACUCGCCGACUCGACAGAUAGUCGCAGGUUACUUGAGAUAAACUACCUGGAGGACAAGCAAGACACCUUUGGAAAGUGGACUCGAGGGCCUUCGUGGUUUUGUAAAAGUACAAGAAUGAACCCCGUGAAUAUGAACAGUUUGAACGUAUCCAUCUCUGGAAACCAGCACGCGAAUCAGUUCGCCGUCUAUGAGUCUCCGCUGUACAAGGACUACAGACCUCCAGCCAGAGAUCUGAUCCAGCUCCCCAGAGCCCUGCUCUACCUGAUGAUGGCCGCGGUGGUGGUGGUCGCUGUCGCUUAUGCCAUUGUGGGACAUUUAAUUAAAGACCUCGCGCAUGACAUCUUGGACUGGGCUUUGGGUCCAGAUGAGGAGAUCUUAAAGGUCAACAGUGAGGCGGGUGAUGAUGGUUCCACGCACAUGCCACCAGGCCUCACACACUCCCACCCCAACGCCUUUCAUGUUUGGGAUCAGGACGACGUGGUCAUCCCCCUCUCUCCAGUGGACAGCCCUCAAACCAGCCCCCUUUUGGCUACCAUCCCUUUUAUCCCUCACUUCUUCCCCUCUCCUGCUUCUCACAGUGUGCUGAAUAGCCCCGCACUGCCUCAAAUACACCCAGAGGAUAACAAGAGCCCCACAAAGACACCACAAGAUGCCUAUGUCUUCCCUUCACCCAAAAUGAAAGGACAUAGUUCCGCUUUCUCACACAUGUCAUUUCAUGAGAGAAGAGAUGGGACUGAUAAAGUUUGAACCACCGAACAAUGGCUCACACUAGAUUGUAGUCCAUGAAUUCUUAAAGGAAUAGUUCACCAUAAAAAGAAAAUUUGCUGAAUAUUUACUCACUCUCAGGACAUCCAAGAUGUCAAUAAGUUUGUUUCUUCAUCAGAACAGUUUUGGAGAAAUUAUAUCACUUGCUCACCAGUGGAUCCUCUGCAGUGAAUGGGUGCCGUCAGACUGAGAGUCCAAACAGCUGAUAAAAACAUCACAAAAAUCUACACCUUAUGAAGUGAAAAAUGGCAUGUUUGCAAUAAGCAAAUCCAUUAUUAAGAUGCUUUUAAUAAUGAAUUCGUAAAUUUUCUUUAAUAAUUAACUUUCUCUUGUGAAAAUGUUGUCUUGUCUGAAUCAGGAGUGAAAUAUCCACAAAUCAAGUACUGUUUACAAGCGAAAACAUUAAAAACUACAAAACAGUUCUAAACAAAUAUGUUGGUGGAUUUUAAUGUGAGAGGACAAGAGGAUGGACUUUUUCCACUGUUUAUUUUAUUAUGGACUUCAUAAUCAUGGACUUUUUUUUGGCCAAAAGUGACAAUUAAAAGUUAACAUUCCUUGAUGGAUUUGUUUCUUACAAACACAAAGUUUACACUUCCCAAUACGUUAAUUGUUUGACUAAAAUCUUGUUGAUUUCUUGUGGAUUAUUUUUAUCAGCUGUUUGCACUCUCAUUCUGACGGCACCCAUUCACUGCAGAGGAUCCUCUGGUGAGCAAGUGAUGUAAUGCUAAAUUUAUACAAAUCUUUUCAGAUGAGGAAACAAACUCAUCCUCAUCUUGGAUAGCUUGAGGGUGAGGACAUUUUUAUUUUUGGGUGAACUAUUUUUUUAAGUUUAAAUCCCUCCCUUUAAAUAGAUGAAAUUAACUAAGAAACUUUUGGCUUCUUUGAUCAAUGCCCAAUGCCGGUGUUGUCUGUAUUUACCACAGUACCCUAAACUUUUCUAUUUGACUGCAAAAGCUGGGCCUCAACCUGUGGAGCAUAUGAGGAUGAGUGGCCUGUCCUCAAAAUAAGUGCUGUUGACCCUAAAUGACCUCAGUAAGCAGAGAGCAAUGUCAGUCCAAGCCGCAUUACUUGGGCGUGUUGCAAAGUGAGAGACUGCACAAUCACGUCUGUAGGAUUGUGCCAAUUCAGGAGCAGCCUUCCUCCUGAAGCCAAAAUAAAUCCUCAGAACAGAUUUAGUUCA